UCCGCCAGGCCCUGGGGGCUGCGCCGGCUCCUCCACACAUUAUUCAGAAUCGCGCGUCAGCCUUGGCUAGGGCGCCUGGCGCGAGCGCUCCGGGCUUUGGCCGCCUCGGCCCGGUCUGAACCCUACGGGCCGCGGGCCAGGGCGGGCCCGAGAGCUGCGCGCCAGGACCUUGUCCCGACGCCUCCCGCACCAAGUUCCUCCUGCCCGGCCUGUUGUCCCCGCUUGCAAAGCAAGGACGGCACUUUGGGGCUCGCGGCUGGGUCUGCGCCCGGGGCUCCCUGCGCUCCGUCUUGGGCUCGCAGCACCCGGCUCUCGACCCGGCAGCGUUGAGCCCCAGGAGCUGCCACUCCUAAGCUGUGGCACCCCGUCGUCCAUCGGCGCCCGAGCGGGAGUGGGAAACAGGGGCGGGAGCGGAGGACGCGCUCUGCACAGGGCGACCUCCCUCUCGUCUCCUCGUGGCGAGAUUUCGGGUGGAGAGCACCCCUCGGGGAUCCAGCUGGGCGGUGUUCCAGAUGUGUGCAGCUGUGCAGCGGGAGACUUUCCCCGGGUUCUGGGAGGGGACCGGCGCAAAAGUAGUCGCUGCUGCUCCCUCUCUGUAUUUUGCAGGCUAGGUGUUAUUAUCCACAUUCUGCGGAUGGAAAAGUGGGAUCCCGUCCAAGGAAAAUGACUUGCCAAGUUUGUACCACUGAAUGGGAAAAAGAAGGUCAAGGAGGUCUCCAUGAGGAUUUUCCCCCACACCCUGGUCUUGAGAAGCCAACAGUGACUUAAUUUCUCAUCUGUGUCUAGAAUCUAUCUACUUUGCAGAUAAAAUAUUGGAAUGCUGAGGAGGGCCUGGGUGUUAGAGAAAUUUGUGUGGUAGUCUUUUAUAAAAUUAAAUCUGCUAGUAAUAAUACCACCAGUCUUGGACCCACAAGAGUUGUGGUAAGACUCAAAAUGGAUAAUGGCCAAACAUGUGCUUUGAGAAGUGUGAAGAGCCUUGUAAAUAUAAGAUCCAUUCAUUCAAGGAACUCGGUGGAGACAACAAAUAUAAAGGUGAAUGCUAUCUUUGAAUCUUCCAGACCAUCAGGGCAAAUAAACAUGGCUAUACGGGAGAAAGGGGAUCCCUAGUGCACCAUUGGUGAGAAUGUAAACUAGAGCUAGUAUAGAGAACAAUAUGGAGAUGCUUCAUACUAGAAAUAGAUGGAAUUAUUCCACUACUGGGUAAUUAUCCAAAGGAAAUGAAAUCCAUAUGUCAAACAGACAUCAGAAAUCCCAUGAUUAUUUCAGCUUAUUCAUAAUAGCCAAGAUAUGGAAUCAACCUAGGUGUCCAUCAGCAGAUGAAUGGAUUUAAA